AAAAUACCACAAGGAAAGUGAAUCAAUAUCACAUGAAGAGUGCCGGUUUUUCCUCCAAAUAUCAGUAUGAUUACUAAUAGAUUUUUUUUUUACAACAGUUCA